rnacentral:rRNA from 1 species
UACGUAGGGGCCUAGCGUUGUCCGGAAUUAUUGGGCGUAAAGAGCUCGUAGGCGGCUUGGCAAGUCGGAUGUGAAAUCCCUCGGCUCAACCAAGGAAGUGCAUCCGAAACUGCUGAGCUUGAGUACGAAAGAGGAUCGCGGAAUUCCCGGUGUAGAGGUGAAAUUCGUAGAUAUCGGGAGGAACACCAGUGGCGAAGGCGGCGAUCUGGGUCGAUACUGACGCUGAGGUGCGAAAGCGUGGGGAGCAAACAGG